rnacentral:misc_RNA from 1 species
AACUUUUAACAAUGUAUCACUUGGCUCUCGCAUCGAUGAAGAACGCAGCGAAAUGCGAUAAUUAAUGUGAAUUGCAGAAUUGAGUGAAUCAUCGAAUCUUUGAACGCAUCUUGCGCUCCUUGGUAUUCCGAGGAGCAUGCCUGUUUGAGUGUCAUUAAUAUCUCAACCAUGUGCGGAAUCGCAUGGCUUGGACUUGGGGGGACUUUGCAGGCUCUGACUCGGCUGGUCUGCUCCCCUGAAAUACAUGAGCGAAAUGAAAGGCCUCUUUGUUGUUGGGUGUGAUAGCUUUAUCUGCAUCCGAGGGGUCGUUUGUGUUCGCCGCUUUGGAUCUCAUUUUGACUUGACCUCAAAUCAGGUAGGACCACCCGCUGAACUUAAGCAUAUCAAUAAGCGGAGGCU